CCAAGACAGACAUCAUGCAAGAUUCCUGAUGCAUGUGAAGCAGUAGAAUGCUGGGAUGUCUAACCUGAGGGUAACAGGCUACUUUCGCCUGACUGGAUACCUGCUGAGACCUGCAGUGAAGUGAAGGAGAAGAAGGGAGAGCGUUGAAGUGAUCAUGCAACAGGAGACAAGGAAUUCAGAAAAAAAGGUAACACGUUUCUUUUUCUCAACAAAAGAAUUUACAUUUUUUCAUGACCUUUUUCAUCAAUUUGUUCCUGAUGACUGAAUGGUAUUGUUUCUGCAUUUCAAUUUAUGCUUUUUAGAAAUGCCAAUGUAUUCAUGUUCUGGGUUUACCUCUGCAAAUUUUAAUCGAUUGAUCACUGAGAGAGAGGUCAUGCUCCUGAUAUCUGCGGCACACUUUAGGUAGAUCUAUCUGUCUUUUUCAUGGAGUUAACACACGACUGAGGCAGGCACCUGUUUACAUAAUUUCCUUGAAAUCUAAUAGAAAUGUACUUUUUUAUCCUUAAUAACCAAUAAUGUUUUGAAAAGAGAUUUACUGUGAUGCAGCGUUUUUUAGUUGGCUUUCUCGGGUCUUAUUUUGGGAUGUUUAAUUCUAAUUUAACAUGAGAAUUAAGAUGUUAAUGCUACAGACGCACUUUAGAUGAGUGUAAAUGAAAAGCAAAUGAUUGCAUCUGACAGAAAUCUGUCUUUGAGAAAGGAUUGCUUCCUCUCUGUAAACUUCUGCUCUUUAAAAUGCACAGCUGGCACUUCACCAGUCCAUACAGCACGUCUUUUGUGCCUCCAACAAAUUGCAAAGAUUAUGCCACCGCAGAUUUCACUGCUCCUCUCCUGCAGAUCCUUUGGCUUACCUGUGUCUGAAGUAACAUCUGUUCGCUCUUUCUUAUUUGGAGUAGACGGUCACAGAUGUCCUUCCAUGUCUUUGCAACUCAGUUUGAUGGUGUAUGAGUAAUAAGAUCCACUAAAACUGAUAGUGUGAUCAAAUAUUAUCCUUUACCGAUUGUACAUUAUGAAAUUUCUGAUUGCUCACCAUAAUUUUAUGCCAGAUCCAAAAAUUGGCUGCAAAUUAUUCCCAGUUAAACAACCAAGGUAAGGUUUUGGAAUAUUUUUAUAUUACUUAAUAUAUUCAAUUUUAAUUAACCACAAAUGUAGUGUAGUGCUUAGACCACACUGCUUAGUGAUUUUCUUCACCUGACCUUAAGUUUUAUAGAGUUUGCUCAUUAUAGAGCAGAGAGAGGGGUGCAUUGCAGCUCUUGAAGUCAUGAAACCGAAUUAAAGAAAUGACCAAUUGUGUUCAGAUUAUUUUUGUCAUUGUUAUUAUUCAGCCAAUGUGAUUCUUAAAGUGCAUAAUCCUGCCCCUGUUCAACGUACUUAACACUAAAUAAAGGAAAAACCUUAUUGCACUGCUACAGGUCACAGAGUGGGAUUAGUCACAGCACUGACUGCACAGUGCACAAAGUAGCUCUGGGGGCACUUUCAUUUAAGAAAGCUUAUAAUUUUUGCAUGAAAUGUUUUGUUUUCAAGUUAUGUUUCAACAACAUGACAAGAAAAUAUAGUGAAACCAAAGGUGCCUGCAGUCCGUUUGUUGCCAGCGUCAUUCAUUGGCACAGUGGGUAUAUCUGCUGCUGAUGAACAUCUAUACUGCAAUUCGGUUUAAAUAACAGUUUGAGAUUUGAAAGUGGUUCAAGUAAAUUACUUCAAAUUCUGAUUUGACGUCAGUGACAACAGGUCAAUGAAUAAUUCAGUAUUUAGCUCCAGUAAGCAGGCAAAAAUGCCUCACACACAUAAACCUACUUCAACUGGAGAGUCAGUGUCCAUAAGUGGUUUAUGCAAAAAUAUUUGUUUUGUUUAGUUUUGUAUUUUGCUGGUAUUGCAGUCUUUUCCCUACUUCCUGUUAUAUCACAUCGUUUACCUUGUGUUUAAUACGUUUCUUUAACACUUUUGAACCUAUUUAUACCUGAUUGUUAUUGGAUCCUGUUCCAUGUUCUGAGUGUCUUCUGUCUGAUUUUGUUAUCCUAUUCACCAGUGCGUCAUAACAUCUAGUUUUGUAUUCCCUCCUUCUUGAUUACCCUGAUUAGUUUCCCUUGUGUCUUGUGUUGCACCUGUUUGAUUGCUUCAGUUGUCCCCAUAUUGGACUUUUGAGCUUUGACUUGAGUAAAUUUUGUGAACCUUUUGCCCCCUUGUUAAUUGAGUUCCUUGGUUUUGUCUGUGUCCUUGGGUCCUUUAAUACAAUGUGACAGUCUUGUCUUCACCUUUACUUGAAGGGACCAUGUAUAAGUCUCAGAUCAACACAGUAAGCGGCUAAAAUGGUUAAUUCAUAGUUUGAGGAACUUCUUAGCAAUAGUUGAAUUAUCAGCUGAAGUUGGCCUCUGUUGAGAAAACUAGUCAUAGAACCAAAUCAUACUGCUGCAGACAGGGUCAACUCUACUGUUGAAUUUUUAAAAGUCAAACCAACAUUAAUGUUGGUGUUACUGUACAUUGUACACUAUUCAGGAAAAAAAAUAAUCUCUUAAAUUUGCUGUUAGAAAAACUAUUCAUUUCUGUAGAGGAAAAAUGAGGCCAAGUAGAGGAGGGGAGAAACUCUUCUGCUGAAUGGAGAGUAGAGGAGAUACUAAAUUAUGUGGUGGUGCAAAGUGGGCGAGCUGCUGCUGUUGUGGGAAGGACUUAGUGAUGUCAGUGGUAGGGCUGCACUGAUAUGGGUUUUUCAUGGCCCAUAGCAAUACUAUUUAUGACUAGUCAUGAUAUUAGACAACUGAUAUUUGAAACCAAUAUGUGCUGAUAGUUAAAAGGAAUACAUUUUGGGGGCAUGCAGAUGGCCGAGUGGGUUAGCGUGCCCCAACUUGGGGACCACAGUCCCCGCAGCAGUCGUGGGUUUGAGUCCAGCCCUGACCUUGUGCUGCAUUUCCUCCCCCCUCUCCUCUCUCUAUCUCCCCACACUUUCUACCUGUCCCAUCAAUAAAGGCAAAAACUCGCCAAAAUAAUUAAUCAAUAAUUAACUCAAGCAUAAAAAUAUGCAGUCGUGUUUUAAGUGCUUAAAAUGAUCACUGCAAAAAUACCAUCAAUGUCAGAUGUUUUUUCGUCUCUGCACUCUCUGCCCUCGAAGUUGAAAAUAGUUUAACCUCUGUGCCGUCCAAGAGAGAGAUAGAGUGAACAAACAAAAGUAGACAACUGUCAUAACUUCAAUGUUAGAGUGAUUCUCAUCAGCUUCACUGUGGUGAAGUUGAAGUUGUGCUUCCCCAGGAAAUCUAGUAAGAAGGUAGUAGAGUAUAUAAAAACACACAAACAAAAAACAGUCAUAACGUUAAUAGUUACUGUUCAUUAUGUCCAUUAUUUCUGACCUGUAUUACCCCCCCCCCCCAACAUAAAAGGGUUGUAAAGAUGUUUUCUUUUGUUGCUUCCCCACAGCUGGAUUGAACCUUUUAAGCCAAUAUCUACUUACAGGGAUCCAAUUUCAUUUAUUUAAUUAAUAUAAUUAUAUAAAAGAACACUUCAUUUUGCAAAAGCUUGAGAUAUAAAAUAUCUCUUGAUAUGAUUUGCCAUGAGCAAGAUCCACACGUAUAUGCACUUUUGCUUUGAUCGUAGUAUUUUCUGAAGUUUCCCUCGAUUUCAUUCCAACUGAAGUUUCAACGUAGACCGCCAUUCAGUGGUUAAGAUGUUGCUCUGGCCUCGCGAAUAAAAAAGAAAUCUCUAGAUUAAUUAAAGAAGACAGAAAUUGAUUCAAUGGCCAUACAAAAGCAUAAACUGUACAUACCAGUUGUAAAAGGAUCACUGAUACAUCAAACACUCUGCUGUGCAUCAUAAGGCAUCAAUCAGUCACCAGUAAAUGCUGCCUUUCAUCUUAGAAACAGCUCGGUAAUAGCGUUGUAUUCACCUUGUAAAGAGGAAAAAAAACUUUUUCCCAGACUCUGAAGAUUUGGCCUGAGGGCAUCCCCAACCAUUUUCCCUUUUCUUUUUUAGAGACAAUCUAUGCAUAUGCCCAUGCCCAGACAUACACUUAUGGCCAUGCACACAUGGCCUCACACACGCACAGAGAGAGGGAGAGAGCGAGAUAGAUAGAUAGAGAGGGAGAGAGAGAGAGAUACAAACAGGACACAAAUCCUUCUGGCCUCCCAGCCUGGCUUUCUCUCUCCCCGCUGUGCUUGAUCAGGCGUCUUCCGUUCAUCUGCAGAACACAGAGAAAUGGCUAUGGUCCCAUGUAGGCUUGUUUUCAUCCUGCCUUUUCCAUUUUAAGCCCCAGAACACCACUGAAAAGGCAGCUUCACUCUGACAAACUCUUUUAGGUGUCCAUCUACUUACUUGUUAGUCUGCCUGGCCAGCCGCCUGCAGGUCUAGCAGCAAUCCCAUCAGUGGCUUCUGUCUCUCGUCAGAUUGAAGGCCUCACCCUGGGACGCCAUAUCGAUAGGGGAACAACUGGUCCUUGGUUUUUGAUGAUGGAGAGAGAAACUGCUGGACGAUUUCUAAUAAGACGAGAAAGGACUGAAACUGGUGUUUUAGGGCUUGUUGAAGUGAGAUAGAAGGCGCAGGGGAUAAAAUGUAAGGUAGGGAACCACCAAGACGGAGAUGGAAAUAUGAUCUGCUUAGUCUUUGAAGUAGGACAGUUUGAAACUGCUCUGUUGGUACCAGAAGACCAUUUAAAUCGACAAAUAAUUGGACUUGCAGUUGUUGCCUCUGUGGAUCCAAUGAAAGUACACAGUCAGUAAGCACAGAUUUGCCGAGAUCGGACUAAACACUACUGUGUGUUUGCUGUUUGUCAAAUUGGGGUCAAAUAUAACCAAGAGCUAAAAUAACAUUGAGGUAAAAGCACUUGUUUUAAACAACGAAAGACAGAGAUUAAUGAUAUGAACAUUAACCAAUAAUUGCACUCUGUGUAAAGGCCUCAAAUCAUUAAACGCUCUGUAAACUUUACUGUAAACUUAACAAGCCUAGAAGCUGGAUUUAUUAGACAGGGUCUAACCAGGGGUCAGGGUUAUAGUCUAGAAACUUGCUGUAUGAUACAAAUUGUCUGUCACACUGAUGUACAACAAGCAGUCAGUUUCUGCAGGGGAAAGGGUUUGUGUUGUCUUUCUACUUUAAGAAUUUAAUUGCUUUCAAAAAGUCCAUAAUAAUGUACAGUUUGUGUGCAACUGUGAAGCUCUUUCUAGUACAAUCUGUUUUCACUACCCAGCUAGCUACCAGAACUGUAGUUGAGCGUCUCUAGUCUUGAUAUACAGAAAUGCUGAACAUGUUCUUGAGCAUGAACCAUAAGACAGACCCACUGCCUGUGACCAAUCUACUAAAACUUGUAUAACCAUCUUCAACUUUGUUGUCUUAUGCAGCUGAGAAGAUCAAAUUAUGACGUGAACUUGUCCUACUCCCCAAAACUGGAGGGAAAUAUGGGUCUUUUCAGCGGCGCUGUUUCAACAACAACAGCAGGUCCGUGCCAGACAUCAGAAGUGGCUACAACUGCUGCUGGGCAUUUUCGAGCAAGAAGAUGAAGCAUCUUACAGCGUUGUUUUUGUCAUACAUGAUGUACGCACUACUUUUUCUUUAAAUGAUAGCGCCACUUCUUCUCUGUUGUUUUUGUUCUGGGGUUAUGGAGGCGUGGCACACCUGCACAUGCAUUGUUCAAUCGUACUCCGACUACGCUGGUUACAUGGCAGAGAAAAUCGAAUUACAAUUGUAUUAUCUGGGUGUCUUAAUAAGAGUUCUCUGACUCCAAUCAGAGCUCUCUGACUCAGUUCAAAGUUAGACUAAGGUGCUUACAUGCACUUCAGUUGUCUGGUCUUAAUCAGAGUAAGGCAAUAAUUCAGUUUUCUUGAGUGUCAUGUAAACAUACUGAGUGUUGUUCAGGAUGCAGCUUACAUUUUAGAUGACAAAAAAGGUGAUUAUGUUUGUCCCAUGCACAAAAUUUCACGAUAAUUAUAAAAAUGUUAAUGAAUCCAAAAAGAAAUGGGAUGUUUUGGUUUUAUAUUUGCUUUAAAACAUGGAUUUGGGGAAUUGAAAACUUAAAGAUUAAUCCCUUUUUUGCCAUUUUUCUCUUGAAAAAUCCAGAGCUGGCUGUUGUGGAAGUCAAACAGAAUAAGAAUGUAUGUAUUUUAUAUUUGUUAUAGCUUAACAAACCCAACAAGUCAAGGAAAUACAACCUUUUUUGUCUAUUCUUCAAAGUUUAUUGGUCUAAAUUAAUAGGUGCAGUUGGAAGAAAAAACUUUAAUUCUUUGCCCAUGAAAUCAAUUAAUCAAAUACUACAUAGUCCAGCUGCUCAAAUCACAAAUCAGCUGUUCAUCAUCUUGCCCUCCUUGUCCUUUCAGUUUCUCAAUUAUUUCCUAAACUAAGAGGCUUGCAGCAAAAUUGAUGUUCCUGACUUUUUGGCUGGAGGCAGAAAACAAACUUAACUUUCAACCAGAUUCCUGCCCUACCUCAUCGCUAACUGUAGUCCUAGGGCCCAGAGAUUAUCAUGUUGAUCUCCAAGUGUGAAUCAAUUAAGCUCUCACCACAUUUGCAAUCAAUAAACAGCAAAGCCACUGACAGGCUUCCUCCUCAAUCCUUCUCUCAUUGUCAAAAUGUCCUCUAAAGCUCCAAAGCCUAAAGUCCUGUAGAGGCAGCCAAACAGAAUGAAAAAAUUCCAAGCAUGUCUAUAUCGACAGACACUAAGCAAAGGGACCAGGGGGAACCAGGGGUAACAAGAGAAAGGAGGUUUUCAAGAAUCAGUGAUGGAUUUGUGUCAUGAUUGUCAAUGAUCUAUUCUCUUGCCCUCACAGUCAGACAGUGAAGCCCAAUUUGUAUUCCUGUUUCUUUUUUGUAACUGUCAAGGAGACGGACGUGUGUCCAUGUCUGCUGCUAGGGCAGUCAAUGAGCCAUUGAUUUGGAGAACUGUGCUGAUGUCUAAGAUGCCUAUGUGAUGGAUGGGCCCCAUCUUGAACAAAGGGUAAAAAAAAGCAGCAGCCAUCACAAAACAAGUAAAAGUAUAAGACAAAGAAAUUUUGAAACUUUACAGAUUGCCCACACAGCCAUUUCAGAGUAAGUGCUUCUGUACCUGCGUUUUCCUUUGAUGGUCUUUUGUUUUUUUAUUUCUUUAUUUUUUGAUCUGCAUUUAUCUAAGACGCUGACAUUACUGCAGAGUCCCCUCUCUUUACCUCUUCAAAAAUAAAAAAGCAUAUUGCCAUUUUGCUGAUAUCAAACAUACUUCACACAUCAAAGGUGGCCAUUCGAGCACACAGCACAGAAAGUGACAGAAUUCUUGUGGGUGAUUGUGAAGGUGUUGCAAAAAUACCACCUUACAAUCUACUGUUAUCUCCAUUAUUACUGUCUUGCAUUGGAAAGAUGUACUCUGAUAAGCAAAGUCUAACCGUCUUUGAUUUAUUUUCAUGCACCAUUACCUGAAAAAAAUCAAACAAGACUGUUGUUUCAUGGUGGAAAAUGAAUGCCUUUAUGUGUAGCACACAAUACCUAUUGUAUGUUGCUGUAGGUACAUGUGCAUUCUUGUCUAACAAAAGCUACAUUUAUGCACAAUGCAGAUAUAUCUGCUGAUUGCUAGUUUACAAAGUUUUUCUUCACUCAGGGGUGUAUUUGAGGAGAUGUUUGUCAAACCGUCUACAGUAUAGAAAAAAAGUGAAACAAGGCAAAAUGAAACUAGCCGAUGCAUACCCAGCUCAAAAAUAUUACUCAUUAGUUUCAUAGAUGGUGUGAGAAAACCCUCAUUAUUAUGUUCUAUCAUUAUGUAUUCUCUGGGAAAACAAGUAGAUCCAGCAGUGUUGAAAAAUAAGCAAAAUGCAGAGGGGUUUUCUCUGUUAAGUGUGUUUCAGCUUAGUUAAAGGCUCUGUGUGGACUGAUAUUGAGAUAGUUUCACUCUUUUAUUGAUGCCUUUGGAUGGCCUGCAUGGUAAAAUCAGAUUAUCAGUCGUAAACUGGUUCUUCUUACUGAAUUUUAGUGUUCUGGUCGGAUUAGAUGCUUAAAAAAAGCUUGAGACACUUGUGUGGAUGUUAUUUUGUUAAGCUAAGUAACUUUUUACUUAAUGUUUUUAUUUAUUCAUUUGACCAUAUAUCAUUUAAAUUUAAAGUAAUGUCUCGUGCUGUCAUGCUCACCACAGUGGAAUAAGAAAAAAAAUCCUAUGUUAACUUUUGAAGAAUUACAUAGACAGAAAAACAAACAAAAAAAAAACCCCAUACAACCACAUCUUUCCGAGAUCAAAGUGCAAAAUGGCGGUGAAUGAAAUGUAAUGUAUUUGCUGGUAGAGCUAAACUGCAUGCAUAUUAGCAUUUCUUGGAACUGCGAAGCAAACACGUUUGAUUUUGUAAGCUAACAACAAAUGGUAUUGAAUUAGAGUCUCAAAACAUUGUCACCAUUCCUCAAAACAGAAAAAGAAAAAAAGGCGAUUUUCCCAAAUUUUCAAUAGCGCUGCAAUAUUUAUUAAGUAUCAUUAAACUACCAAAUGACUUGCAAGCAUGCAGAUGGUAUCAAUGUACGAUGUUGGUGAAUGCCUUAUAUUCACCUCUGUGUGAGCAUGGAGGCAAGCCAACAUGAAUCCAUCAAUACCGAUGAUAAUUUCAGUUACUCCUGGUUCGCCAACAGGAUGUUUUUGACUUGCCUGUGUUGAUUGUUACGAAGAUUUUUAUAAUUAAUAUGUUUUUUUUUUGUUUGUUUUCUGUUUACAUAUAUUGUGAACCCGAGUCCUGUUAAUCAGCUCAAGUUUGGCUUUAUACAGAUACGUUCAGAUUAUUUGAUAUGACAUAAUUUCUGAUUUAUCAGGUAACAGAGAAGAUUAGCUUCUCCCUCAUUGCCACAAGUUGUUUGUGUGCGUUGUUUCCAUCUGCAAAGAAAUACAUUCCUUUGAGUCGAGCACAAUAGGUAUUAUCUGUUAUUUAUGGAUAUGCAGACAACAGUCAGCUAUAUAAUUAGAAAAGGUGAAAAGGCUCCAUCAGUUGUGCGGGAGUGUUUGUGUCUGAGGUGAUGAAUCAAACAAUGGGGCACAUUUGAUGACGUCACACAAUGCCUAGAAACAAGACAUGUUGCUAAAUAAUGACAAAAGAAAAAGAAAAAAAGCAAUUACCAGCAUAACUUCGUCUACCUCUCAGUACAGUAUUAAAACAUCUACUUUGUAUUGCUUCAGAAUUGAGGAAUUAGCAACCAUAAAUGCUACUGCCUCAUUUUCCAAGGUUUUCGGUUAUGGCUUCACAAUCAGAUCUGCAGUUCAAGCUGAGACACCCCUGAUUAUUAGGUUAAGUGGGAGAAUUAGGGCUGGAGAUGGUUGCGAAAACUGUCGUGUGACAGAAUGAUCCCUAAAUGUCCCGUAAUGAUGUAUAACGAUAGGUUAAUACUCCCAAUCCUUCCUCAUCACCCUGCACCAUCCGCAUUAGUCUAAGUGCCUUGAUCAUCCAUGUGUGAACCCUCUGGGAGAAUCGGGUGGGAGGUGUUGCUGGUAAAGGUGUGGUGGCACAUUCCACUUUGCGUCAUAUGAAACCCCCAUUUCACGGCUGACUAAGCUGAUAGAAAGUAAUAAGGGGACCGGGGAAAUGAUGAAGUGACAUGACCAAUAACUUUCAUUAUGUGUCUGCAACCUUGUCCCAAUCACUAAUUAAUUCUCCACUGGCAGUCAUAUGCCACUAUAUGUGUUCCACUACAGAGGAAAAGCCCAGGUAAUUUCUCCAUACUUACCUCAGCCUGGCAUGGAUAGUAUGGCCAGAAAGGAGCCAGGGAAGAGCGCUCUAGCGAAUAUUGCAGCCUAGGGAAAGGUUUAGAGGUAGAGACCAAUAUAUCUGUUUGCUUUUGCAGACUCAGAUUUGUCUAUCCCUUUCUCAGCUCCUUUUUAUAGAUCCUAACCCUUUGCCUGAUGCAAUCUGUCUUUCUUCCCCUCUCCAACAUAGCUGUAAGCAGAGAAAUGUUUUCAUUUUGAAGUUCUGCGUCUCUUAUUUAUCCACAUUGUCUAAGACCAGUAUUUAAAAUAAGAGUUGCACUUUCCAAACAUUGAUGUAAAUUUGUUUUUGCUUGGUCGAUAGCUCAAUAAUCUUGAGGCUUAUAAUGUUUAUUCAGCUAGACUCCUUAAAGCUGGAGUUCUUAAUACUUUGUGCACACAGUGAACUCUGAAGUGUGUUACAGUAGAACUAAUCAAUUAUCUACUUUAAUUUAAUGAUGCUGUAGGUUUAUGCAAACCAGUUGCAAUGAGAAGAAUCAGCAAAAUGAAUAAUAGAUCACAAGACUUAAUCUGAACACAGGCUAAAAGAGGAGAAAGCUCCCUAUCAGUUCCCAUCUUUACUCUACCAAACAAUGGGCUGCUGGGUGCUCUGCAGUUCAGUGUUUAAAUUGAAAUUCCUGGAGCCCUUUAUAGCUGUAUUGUAUUUCUAAUGCCAUUAUAGCUGUUUUUUUUUCUCUUCAAAACACAAUUAAAUCUGGGACUGUAAAUCUUGCCUUAUGCCUGGCAAACUCCUUCAACAACAACCCAAUCAGACCCAUUUAAAGAAAUCCAUGGGGGUCUAUCGAGCAGGGAGGAGGAAAGCAUUUCAGCACCACCUAGUGGCAGCAUGGAAAACCAAGCAUUUGUUUGUGCAAAGGGUUCAAUCUACAGCCCAUGAAUAUUUCUUGAAAUAAAUGCAAGACAAGGCAACCCGGUCAGAACCCCUUUACACCUAGCUGUCAGCUUAGGAUUCACGCUCAGAGGUGAGACUGUGAAGAGCAGCAUCGGGAACAUUAGCAUGAUCUGAGUGGAGAGAGAGAGAGAGAGAGAGAGAAAUGUCAGUGUUUUCAUCAGUGUUUGCUGCAUUCAGAGGCAUUAGAGAUACAGCACAAUGGCUCAUAAGCCAAAUGGUGUGGUAUAAGUGUCAUUAGUGAAAUGAUAGCAGGGAAAGCUUAUGGGCAAUUGAGAUCAUAACAGAAAACGAUCAGAGAAUACAGUUUUUGAUGUGUGUUAUUUUUCUCAAGGUAUCUCAUCAAAUUAUGUUAUUUCCCAAUUAUGUCUAACUGUUUUUUCUUUCCUUUAAUUAUCUUUUUUAAAUUAUUAAUUAUAACUUUCUCUGUGCAAACAAACAAAAGGAUUAUGGUAUCAUUAGAGGUGCUAUUGUUUAAGUUAAUCCUAAUUGGAUCACUUCAAACAACUGUCACUUCUUGUUCACAUGCAGAAACAUGCACACUGAACUUUUCCCUCAUGUUACUGUUCUGUAUUAAUUCUCUUUAAGCACACCUAUCAAAUGAUAUACAGGACACAACUUCUCAUUAAUUCUUCUUCUUCUUCUUCUUCUUCUUCCAUAUGUCACUUUCCCAUGAAUUGAUGCAAAAGCUAAAAAGCGACCACUGCCAUGCAUUCAUCCCUGGACUUUGCCUCUGACCAAAGAAACUGCCCGAAAGAAAGAGACUCCUUAACUAUUGAGUUUCAUUUUGACAUUGGAGUUCAGUGUACCGCAGAGACCAAGAAAAACACUGAUGAUGAAAAAGAAUGUCCUAGAUUUUCAGAGAAAGAUGGGGGUUGGGCACAUGGGAGGAGAUUAAAGGAUAUGUUUUGACAGUGGUAGCCUGUUCCAGACAAAGUCCUACACCACACUGAGGAGUUUGUUAGCGCUAUAGCAUUUUGGCCUGUACGGGUUCAGUCCUGACAGCGGUCAGGGUCAGAAUCUUAAAAAUUACAAAGUAGUCAAAGUUUUGUAGCUGCUUUAUUCUUCCACCAAACAUGAUGAAUAGAAAGUCAACCAGAUGGAGGCGUUUGUUUUUAAUUUAUCACAUUUCAUUAUUUCCUCCUGUACCAAACACACCAGGCAUCACUCCUCCAUUCACCUAAUUUUGUCCGCCAGACUUAAUCCUUAACUAACAACAUCCGCUAGCUGCACACACACACACAACCAGCGCACACUGCCCCUCAUAAAUCCUCUAUAUCAACCUCGUCUCUGCCCUCUAUCUCUUUAUCCACUAACCACCCCCCUCCCACCACACAUGCCUAUCUUCGACUAUCUGCCUCGCCACCUUCUCUCAGCCCAGGGUGCUCUCUUUCUUUGUCUCUCUGGCUCCUCUGUCAGUGAGGUAUGCCUCUCGCUCUCUGUAAUAAUAAGGCUUUCAAAGGGUGAUGGUGCUGCUCUCUCUAUUCAUUAUGGCCGGUCCCAGAAAGAUCACUUGUUGAUACCCCUCAUGAGUUGGAACAGAGAGAGACAGACAGAGAGAGGGAGAGAGAGAGUGACGAGAUGGACAGAGGAUGGUAGGUCUCAGCUAGACAAACAAAGCCUUGGCUAUUUCAAGGUUGUCAUGUUUCAUGCUGCCCAUGGGCCUGUCCACACGCAGCUGUCUUUGCACAAGCCUGUCUACGUUAUGAACAGCUAUCAUGGACUCCAGCUGUCAAUCAAAACAGGACACAAACAAGGACUCAAAACACUCAGGUGAAUACAUGCGCCGAGGUUGUACGUUUUAUCUUGUUAUUGAUAAGUCAUAUUGUCUUUGUGUCUCUUUAGUGAUGCACUUUCCUCUGACUGUCGAUGUCUUUUGUAAAUUCUCUCUUUUCUUGUCGUCUUGUGUUUGUUUGUUUGUCCCUGAGAAGAUGGUGGAAAUGUGACCAUGCCUCAGGCCAGGAAGAAGGUCAGAGACAACACAGCCGAGAUCCUGUAUGAUUGCCUAUCUGAUGUGCUCAUGUUUACCUUUCAGGUGUUUUUAAAUGGACUGUUUUCAUCACCAAGGAUGGAAGGCCGGAUCAGGAGGUGAGCUGCAUUGCAAUGCUCUGCUUUUAUUCUCUUGUCAAUAUCAUCACUGACCAUCAGCAUUCCAACUGUGACUGGUUGAAUAUCGUUAUAAGAUUGAUUGUUUGGCUAAGUUGUCUAAUACAGUUAUUACCGUAGCCUGACUUAAAUGUGAGCGUAAACAUGCAGAUUCCUGUUCUGCCAGGUAAGACUGGAUUAUCUGGAGGACUGUUUUAGAUUUGCAGGCAGUUUUUUGGAUCAGUUUAAAAGGACUCAGAUAGGGAGCAAGUUUAAAAAGAAGAAAUAGUCCUGAAGAGAGGAGGCCAAGCUGGUCUGUAAUGCUUUGGAUGAGAUUAAAUCUCAGGAUGUCUUGGGAUAGACUUGCCUUUUGGAGCGAUUUAGGCUUCAGUAUCAAGUCCUUGGACACUCUUAUGUGGAUAGCAGGUCUGACUGAAUGAAUAUCCUGCAUCUGGGGAUGAAAUGCUUUCCCUCCAAGCCAAAAUCCCAAUAUAUAAUCCAGGUUAACCAGAUUAGGAAAUCUAGGAAGUUGGAAUAGGAGUGUUUAAACAGACUCAUAUGUAAAGAAAAAAUAAUCAAGGAUAGAUGGUGAAGCUAGCAGAGCACACGUGACUGGAGAAGUGACAGAGAGGUGUGAUGAUGCCCCAUAAUGAAAUAUUAAUUGAGAUGGAAGAGGGGGCUGACCUCAGUGUCAAAGGCAAAAGGACAAGAGUAUAUGACAAGAGGGCGCAUGGACAUGCUGACAGCUGUCAGUGAAGCUAGACUAAGGCUAUGGUAAGUUAAUGAAAUUUGUGCUUACAGUUUUUUGUUUUUUUUUUUGCCCACAACAUUGUCAUAGCGUAAACUAUAACAACUAUACUUAAAGAAAAGUUACUUUCCAGUAAUUGUCUGCAAUGGUUAAGUCCCAGCAAGUGUCAUUGUGUGAAAAACCAAUUAGCACAAUCUGAUCCAAAAUUAAAAACCCCUAAUUGUAUGACGGAUUGAUUUUACCCUGACAUCACAGGACAGGGAGGAAAUUUUUACUUUUUUUUUUUUCAAAUUCCUUUUCGAGACGUGGACAGAUCCACAAUCAGGGCAGGCUGAUUCUGAGUAAACUCAGCAGAGAGGCAGUCAUCUCAAACGGGGAUAUGUGAAUUCAGAAUAUAUCAAAUCCAAAGCUGUUAAAGGAAACUGGAAGAAACAUCAACAACUUCUGAGCUACACAGACUACACACGUAGGUUUCGUUUUUGCACCUCCAGCUUCUGGAUCUUGUCUCACAGAUUCAGAAGUGCUAUUUUGUGUAGCCUGUAUGUGGUCAGCAUAGUGUUUAGUUAAUACUGCAGAAGAGAAUGCUUCAGACACCUUAAAGUUCUUCAUACUACAUGUUGGCAUCCACCUAUUGCCACACAUCAACCUAUUACGUGCUGUGUAGGGUAUCAAACAAACUUAUGAUUUGUUUAAAUUCACAGACUAAUAUGGGAUCUAGUAUCUUGCCAAAGUAUAAAUUAAUAUGAGUGCAAACAAAAACAAAGGAAACUGGAGAUCUACUCAGCCCCCUAAUUUAAGGCACAGUCACAAACGGGUAGAGAAACUGUACUUGAACUAAGAGGAUAAAAAGGACCUGUGAGAAUUGUUUGCUUUUGUUCUUGACAACACCACUCCAAUUUCCUUGGACUAAAAGACAAGAGGAUCAAGUGUUUAGAUGCUGUAAAGCCUGGAAGUCAUAGUGAGCUUAGUUAAUUGUAAUGAUUUUUAAGUAAAAGCUCAGUCAGGGUGAUGUUAUUUUACAUGCUAGUUGUAUUGCAGCUGUACAUCUGCUGUCUUUUUGAUUUCUCUUUUAUCCACCCCUGGUUCAUUCAAGUGAGUUAACAAGACCGCUCUUUGCUGUUCUGAUUGAAACCUUUCUGAUUUGAAAUUCCAUGUCAUCCAUUUACACAGGGCACGUUUGGUACUUUCAUGGUGUUUACAUGCUCAAGGCACCAAGUCUUAGUAGUGUCACGUCACAACUCAUGGUGUAGCUCCUCAGCGUGACUUCAUGGUAGCGCAACAAAUUUUGAUUUCUUGUUAUAAUGAAAACAAAUGUCCAAAAGAACCCUUUGACCAGUUCUGUACCACCACAUUGCUUCAACGUGUUUUCAGGCUAUCCCAAGUCAUGAGGUAUGAGCAAUAAGUGUGGGCAAAGCUUCUGCCAUGGAAUACAAGUGGACUGAGUGGUUCACAAAAAUAAAAUGCUGUUUUAUUCAUAUAGAUAUACUGAUGUCUCUGUCUAAAAUGUAUCUGCUGUAUGAAGAUCAGCUGUGGAGGUGGAUAACAGAGCUGAGUGUACGGUGUCUGGAACAUUACUGACAUUGAGAGAAAUUAGCCGUCAGCUAACAACAGCGAGUUUUGCCCUCUUAAAGAACUAGCUAGCGAAUAUGAAUGUAGAACAGCCUCACAAACAUAUUAUGAGUGAAAGUGAACUUUCUUUUCUUUUCUUCACUAAUCCUGAUCAGAGAACGCUAACCUUGGGUGACCAUAUGCGCUCUCUUACCCGGACAUGUCCGCUUUUUGGGGGGCUGUCCGUCUUUGUCUGGCGAAGUUUAUAAAAUCCAUCAAAUGUCUGUGGUUUUGUACGAAGUUUUGAGUUUGCGUAACGUGGACUGAUUGAGUUAGAAGCAUGUGAAAGACACUUGAUCCGACCUGAAAAACUCUCAAAUUUGACUUUCUGCGACUCCUUGACUCCACCCCUGCGUAGUCAUGUCCUCUUUUUGGGGAUUCAGAAUAUGGUCACUCUAGCUAACCUGGUAUUCCUGCAGCUGAACAGCAGCACUUGUUACAUUUGUUACACUUGUUAAAGAAUAGGCUGCCAUGAUUGGUGUACAGGGCUGAGAUGUAAAAUCUGGUAAAAAAAAGAAACAAAUUAAAGAGACAGCCACCACUGCUCCAUGCAGUCUACAUGCAUAAUAAUGUAUUGCACAUGAAUGUGACACUUCAGAGGCAAUGGGAUGAGACCAGUUCUAAGAGGCCCCCUGGAGGCGGUGGGGCCCUAGGCAACAGCUUUUGUUGCUUAUGCUUUAGGUUGUACCAAAGACUUUCUAAGACAUAAAUACUGCAGCUGUGUAUGAUAAAUUAUCAUCUUUAUCUCAUUCACUUGCCUAUUAAUUAACUCUCCAAAUCGAGCAGUCUUUUUCAUAUCCGAUGGGAGGGAAAGUUCUGAUCAAACCCUCAUCCAGUCAGAACUCAAGACAACACUCUCCCAUACGGUCGUGUGGCUAAACUGCUCCUGUUACGGCAUCAACAACUUGCCUACAUAACUUUUCAUGUUGUGAAAAUUUUGACCCUUUUUUAUCAGAAACUCCUGCACCUUCUAUUAGCUGUUUGUGCUACACUGGCAGUGCUAUAUUGUUUGCUGAAAAUUAGUCCCACACAGAAUAUUGACACAUCUACCCAUGGAAUGAAAAACUGGAAAACAGAUGUUGGCAGAUUUCUAUAAAGUAAACAUGACAGUGAACACCAUUUCAAUGUGGAGGAAUUUUUUUUUGCAAAUCAACAAAGCUUAAUAGUAUUUUGUGGCAGAGUUCAGGCAAAUUUUCAGAUUACUCUUUACACAGAUGGUAGACAGAAUGAUAUCUGUGUCUACAGAGUCACUGCCACAAUUCACAAGCUUAACCUCAGCACCGACCUUCAAAAGUGAAACACUUUGGGUAUCCCUGCUGUCUGUGUUGGCUGGUUGUUGGGAUGCACUUUCACAGUAUUCAAAGGAGCUCUUUAUGCUUCCUGUAGACAUGCCUCAUGUGGUUACACUGAACCAUUUUUGAGAGGGUUCGUUUUGUGGACAGUUUUGCACAUAUUGAUCUCUUUUCCAAAAAAAAAACUGACAGCAACAUUGUUCUGACAAGAAUCUGGUUUGCAAAAAUAAAACUGCUGCAUUUUUUAUUUUUAGACUUGUUUUUCUUUUUUUUCCUUUUGUGUUCAUUUCAUUGUUUCUCUGUCUCACAUUUUGACCUUGCUUUGUGUGGGAGUUACGUGCAUUAUUGCUGUAUAUUUUCAGAUUGUGGAUUAGGAAAUGAAAUGUCCACUGAGACUUUUCUUUGCUCUUUAGAAUAACACAGAUGGUGACAUUUCUGUGGCUCCAUCUUAUUUAAUCAAGAAUGCCCUUUAUGAGGGAAGAUGAUGUUUUGUUCGACUAAAUUGAGGCUCAUUGUUUCAUGAUCUGAGAUGAUAAUUUUGAUGGAUUCACUGUUUAUGGUUAUUCAUAACUGCAAGAGUUUUACAUCAAGAAAAGUUCUCCCUUUUUCAUUUUUCCUAUUUUAUUUUAAUAAUCCAAGCAACAAGAUCUUACUUGUACUGUUGAAAAAUAUGCAUGACUUACUUAAAAUAUUAGCCCUAAUGAUCGCCGUUGUGUUCAAAUACUCUAAGCACCCCUGCAGUAAAAAGCUGUGAUUAAGGCCUUCAGUUUCCUCUUGCACACAACUUAACAGUUUUAUCUGCAUGCAGACGUCAGGCAUUUUCACACCUUGAUUGAUUUGAAAAGUUCUGAAACAACCCUUUGUCUUGGAUCAUUUGGACUUAGGUAAACACAGCAAUCACUCUCUAAAUGGGAUCAAAACAAGUCGAGUUUGGGGAGUUCUGCCUCCUUCAUCUCUUUAGCCUCUACUUUUGUAAAGCGGAGAUCGUUUCUUUACAUUACACUGAUAGGGGUGGGAAUCACCAGUGACGCCAUGAUACAAUGUUAUCAUGAUGCUUGAGCCAUGAUACAAUAUUAUUGCGAUUUUUAACAUUUUGCAAUACAUUGAGUAUUGCGAUCCAAGAUGUUGCGAUUUAUACAAUUUUUCAACUGCUAAUUUAACAAUUGUCUUCCCUAUAUAUUUGUCUUAUUUACACUGUAUUUUAUUUUCAGGUAGCACAUCUUGCAAACCUCAUGUGUCAGGUCCAUCUCAUUUGGGCCCUGCUUGCAUUUCUAAUUUCUUUCCCCGGGUGCUGCUAUAUUUGCUGUACUAACUUUCACCUGCUCUAUGAUGUCCCCUCUGCCAACCUCACAAGACAAACAGUUGAUUUAUUUUUCCAUUAUUGAAGAUUUGACUUCAUAUUAACAACUAAUUUGAAAAAAAUUUAUACUUGGUCAAUGAGAUGAUACAAUAUAUCACCAGACGAAAUAUCAUGAUACUAUGCUGUCUCGAUUUUUCUCCCACCCUUAUACUCUGAUGGAGUUUCUUUGUUGUUGCAUCACAGUGCUUGGCAGAGCAAUUGAAGCAACCUUAAAAUCAUGCGCUGACUUAUAAGUUUGCAACUUUUUUUUUUUUUUGUUGGUGGUGUCUAACACUACAGGGUCACUCUUUGAACCGAAGUGUGGUCUGUACAUGUGACAUUUGUUCAACUCAAUAGAUGGUUGGCUGCAACCAUAUGGUGUAAGGAGAGCCUUGAGAUGGUGUGAACUUUGCAUUAAGAGAGAAAAAGAUAGAUCUUAUUCUAUCUUUUAUGUUGGGUCUUUGUGAAUAAUAAAAACAGGUUAUGGUUUGGAUUCACUCUUAUCAUCUUAAGAUAAAAUGGUUAAAAACAGCCCUAAAGGGAAUGACAGAUCAUGAAAUUAAAUUAGCUUUUUUUAUUUAUUAUUUUUUUUUGUAAGCAGGUGUCUGAAGGAGAUUCGGUCUUGACCAGCGCUGGUGUCAACAAGGAGCUCUACAGCAUGGCCCCAGACUCUCACAUCUUCUUCAGCUGCUGUGCUAAUUGAAUCCACUCAGUGCACCCUGGGGUGUCUGAUGAGCCAGAGCCGGGAGUUGAAAGAUUGUCUAUUCAGAGAAAAGGUUGCAGUGGCUUAGAGGUGAGAGUAUCAGGUCGGUGUUUGAAAAAUAAAAAAAGCACACCAUGCAAACACAUUAAUACACAUAUGUUCACCACAAUCAUCCUUUGAUUCUACUACCUCGCUCCUGCCCUCACCACUGCACAGACCUGAGGCAGCACCUGAGGCUAAAGACUUUACAGGGCUCUGACUCCAAAGCAUCAGCAGUGGGCGGGAGAGAGGAAUCGAGGAUUAGGAAGGCGCGCUCUUUGUGUGUGUUUGUUUGUUCGUCUGUCUGUGUGCCUGUGCGUGUAUGGGAGAGAAAGCAAAAAGAGGAAGACAAACACAUGCUGUCAUCGUCCUCUCUUAAGGUGCUCCGGGGAUAUCACAAAUGCCAUUAGACUAGGCCACAUCCCUCAAGGCAGGUAUGUGGAGAGACUGUAGAAAAUUAGGAGACAAACACACAGACACAAGAAAGAGAGCAGGAAGUGUUGGGAUGCUGCCAUUCAACAUAUGUGGAACUUCACUGUCUUACCAGAGAGCCCGGGAGGUGACAUUAACUUUAUUUUUAUUUUGAAAUUUGCAUGUG